CCCAAAUUUAGUUUGGCCGAACACAGGGGGUGUUUGGGAACUAGGGACUAAAUUUAGUCCCUCUUACAAAAUUAUAAGUCCCUAUAGUAGAGACUUAUAUUUUUGUGAGAGGGACUAAAGUUUAGCUCCACUUUAGUCCCUCCAACCAAACACCACCACAAUACUAUAGAGGAGGAGGAGGAGAUGGUAGGUAGCAGUAUCGAGGGAAAGAAAGAUACGGAGAUCCAUAACGAAAUGUAACCGUGUCUCACCGAUUGAGUCGAGAAAUGUCCCUCUGCUGAUGACGAGCAUGGAUGGAUAUUUGUGGUGACGCCGUUGCAGACAGCAGAGGUAGCUUGGCAGCCAGGCGCCCAACCGACUGAAGAAGCAGUCCAAGUCCAACUUGUGAAACUUUGAAGCGGUCUCUACAGUAUUAUAUUGGUACCAAUAAAUAUCUCUCUCAAUCAUAGUACAUGCCACAUUGAGUGCUUCGCAGGAUACAAGAUUCAUGAUCUAUCCUCUUAUCCAGCAGUCACAUCGGCAUUUCGCAAUCAAUCUUCGGUCAGAGAAUGAGUUAAUUUAAGAGUAACAAGGCAAGUACAAGUGGACGUCGCUCAUCAUCGGAUGCAAAGUCAACAGAGACAAACUAAUUAAGAUUAAUCUCUCUUGGCACUAGCUAGCUAGCUCUAAUUAAACCGAACAAUAGAACAUAUGCGCAAUAUAUGAUCAAUAUGUACAUACAUCAGGAGCAACCCCUAUUAAUUUAAAUUUAUAAUGAUUCGAAUA